UCACUACGAGCGAUCCGCAUCGGAUUUUUACGACAGGCUUCGACCGGGCCCCUCGACAAAUGACCCCCAUCCGAGCUUUUACGGAGAUCAGACUCUGAUCAAACUCCUAUAGCGGACAGAUCCCACACGGACUCCAGCAGUCGGACCCCUCCAGUGGAUGAACCUCUUCAGCGCCAUCCGACACCCACUGACCGAUCGACCCUCCAUCGAAUUCUGUG
rnacentral:lncRNA from 1 species